rnacentral:rRNA from 1 species
UUGGGCGUAAGAGCUCGUAGGCGGUUUGUCGCGUCUGCUGUGAAAUCCCGAGGCUCAACCUCGGGCCUGCAGUGGGUACGGGCAGACUAGAGUGCGGUAGGGGAGAUUGGAAUUCCUGGUGUAGCGGUGGAAUACGCAGAUAUCAGGAGGAACACCGAUGGCGAAGGCAGAUCUCUGGGCCGUAACUGACGCUGAGGAGCGAAAGGGUGGGGAGCAAACAGGCUUAGAUACCCUGGUAGUCCACCCCGUAAACGUUGGGAACUAGUUGUGGGGUCCAUUCCACGGAUUCCGUGACGCAGCUAACGCAUUAAGUUCCCCGCCUGGGGAGUACGGCCGCAAGGCUAAAACUCAAAGGAAUUGACGGGGACCCGCACAAGCGGCGGAGCAUGCGGAUUAAUUCGAUGCAACGCGAAGAACCUUACCAAGGCUUGACAUAUACGAGAACACUUCAGAAAUGAAGGACUCUUUGGACACUCGUAUACAGGUGGUGCAUGGUUGUCGUCAGCUCGUGUCGUGAGAUGUUGGGUUAAGUCCCGCAACGAGCGCAACCCUCGUUCUAUGUUGCCAGCACGUUAUGGUGGGAACUCAUGGGAUACCGCCGGGGUCAACUCGGAGGAAGGUGGGGAUGAC